GUCUUUCUUGGAGGAGGAACACUGAGACUUGUUCUUCUGAGACUUAAUGGAAAUUGCUUAGAUAUAUCUCUACCUAUUUACCAUUAAAAUUAAGAUUUUUUUUUUUUGGUUACCUUUCUGGUGGUUUAUAGAGUUGAUGUUAUCCUUGAAGGUUCACAUAGAACAAGCUGAAUCAGUAUACUGGGGUGUUUGAAUUGCAUUGUUAAGAUACUGUGAUUGGGUAUCAAUUUGAAUGUUGUCCACCAAGCUUAUUUAGCGAUAAGUUGUUAUGCUGUAUAAUAUUUUGACGUGGUAUGGUGCCAUAUAUUUAAUCUGGGUGUCUUAGGAUUUUAUUUUUCCUUUUUAAUUUGCAGCAGGCCUCCGGUGUAGCUUUGAG
rnacentral:misc_RNA from 1 species